GAGUUUGAUCGUGGCUCAGAGUGAACGCUGGCGGUAGGCCUAACACAUGCAAGUCGAACGGCAGCACAGAGGAGCUCGCUCCUUGGGUGGCGAGUGGCGGACGGGUGAGGAAUACAUCGGAAUCUACUCUGUCGUGGGGGAUAACGUAGGGAAACUUACGCUAAUACCGCAUACGACCUACGGGUGAAAGCAGGGGAUCUUCGGACCUUGCGCGAUUGAAUGAGCCGAUGUCGGAUUAGCUAGUUGGCGGGGUAAAGGCCCACCAAGGCGACGAUCCGUAGCUGGUCUGAGAGGAUGAUCAGCCACACUGGAACUGAGACACGGUCCAGACUCCUACGGGAGGCAGCAGUGGGGAAUAUUGGACAAUGGGCGCAAGCCUGAUCCAGCCAUACCGCGUGGGUGAAGAAGG
rnacentral:rRNA from 1 species